GGAAGUAAAAGUCGUAACAAGGUCUCCGUUGGUGAACCAGCGGAGGGAUCAUUACAGAGUCUCCGAACUCCCAAACCUUUGUGAACAUACUACGUUGCUUCGGCGGUCGUCCCGGGAGCGCCCCCGUGGCGCGGCCUGGCCGGCCGCCGAGGACCCAUAAUUCUUGAAUUUAUAACGGAUUUCUGAGUAACAAAACAAAAUGAAAAUAAAAACUUUCAGCAACGGAUCUCUUGGCUCUGGCAUCGAUGAAGAACGCAGCGAAAUGCGAUAAGUAAUGUGAAUUGCAGAAUUCAGUGAAUCAUCGAAUCUUUGAACGCACAUUGCGCCCACCAGUACUCUGGUGGGCAUGCCUGUCCGAGCGUCAUUUCAACCCUCAGGGCCCGUCCGCGGGACCUGGUGCUGGGGAUCGGCCUUCACCGGCCGGCCCCGAAAUACAGUGGCGGCACACCCGCGAUCUCCUCUGCGUAGUAGCAAUGCCUCGCAGCUGGAUAGCGGUUGCGCCUCGCCGUAAAACCCCCCAAAUAUAUCAAUGGUUGACCUCGGAUCAGGUAGGAAUACCCGCUGAACUUAAGCAUAUCAAUAAGCGGAGGAAAAGAAACCAACAGGGAUUGCCCUAGUAACGGCGAGUGAAGCGGCAACAGCUCAAAUUUGAAAUCUGGCCCUCGGGUCCGAGUUGUAAUUUGUAGAGGAUGUUUCUGGCGACGUGUCUUCCGAGUUCCCUGGAACGGGACGCCAUAGAGGGUGAGAGCCCCGUCCGGUCGUACGCCUAGCCUCUGUGAAACUCCUUCGACGAGUCGAGUAGUUUUGGGAAUGCUGCUCAAAAUGGGAGGUAUACGUCUUCUAAAAGCUAAAUACCC
rnacentral:misc_RNA from 1 species